AAUGCGGCAAUAAAAUAAGCCGCAUAGCAACGCAACGUCAGUCGUCAGCUGUUUGACAGAUUGAGCUUGUGAAGGAACGCGAAUUCGGAAUCUAAAUAAUUUUGCUGAAAGAAAAUCAUUACAGAUUUACUGAAACGUUCUGUGUUGAAAUUUCGUGACUAUAGUGUAUAGAAAAAAGAAAACAUUUCUGUUGUCCAUAAGUGAAUCAGUGCUGUGAAAAUAAAAACGCACGAGAUCAAAUUUGAAUUUAGAAUUUGAGAUUUUUGCCAUACCCCCCAGACAUGCACGCCUAGACCACCAACCAAAAAUGACCAGCCCAUUCAGGAGGAAAUACACAACCAACAUAUUCCUAAACACAUAAACACUAGACUUCGCCAAAAACUCCAGUGAGAUAGUGUAAUAGUUCCUUUUGAGUGAUAUUAGUGAUAGUGAAGUGCCAUUAGUGUAUAAUUAAUAAAGUAAAUAUGAAUUUGUGGUGGUUGGUGGUCGUGCUGGCCGCGGCGAGUGCGGACCGGAGUACUCUACCCCCGACUUGUGAUAGUUUAAUAUACUGCCAUGGCCCGCUGCUGGACACGGUGCAGAUGGCCGGCCUCUACAACGACUCCAAGACCUUCGUGGACAUGAAGAUCAAGGUCUCCGCCAACAUCACCAUGGAACACUUCCAGGAGAUGAUGAACAAGUGAGUAUCA